CAAAUACAUCUUGUUGAUUUGCGACUGGGUGCUACCAUAAAGCCUAUGCUGGACUCUUCCAGUUCCCCUCCUUCAGCUUCUCAAGUGCUGGGAACAAGCAAGUGCUACCAUGCCAAAUACAACUUCAUUUCACAUGAUACAUCCCCCUGGGUUCUGAACAACGUCCUCUGAAGACGUUGGAGACUAACCAUCUGGCAGUCUGUUAUCCCUUGUCCCCAGGAUAAGAUUUUUCCUAAAGCAACUUAAAGGAGAAUGCAACUUGGCCUCAUAGUUCAAAGGUGCAACCUAUCAUGGGGAGGAAAUCAAAGAGCUUGGAGCAGCUAUUGUAUCCAAAGUCUGGAAGGAAAGAGAAAUAAAUGCUUAUUUAACUUUGCCCUUUAUUUGAAAUUAAACACAUUAAGCUUCUUCUUU
rnacentral:lncRNA from 1 species